GUCAGGACCUGAGGCCCUCAGGACACCGCAGGUCAGCAGUGUGAGCCAUCAGCCCCUUGCCUGGCACUGUCCCCAUUGUCAUUCUGGUCACCUUUUCUGGGAGCAUUUGAACCCCAGUGUCACCCCCCACAGCCCAGCUCUCCCAGGUGGGGAGCAAGGCAGGAAACUCAGGAUGCUGACUCGGCCAGGGGAGAUCCCACGUGACCCCCACCAGCCAUAGGGCGGGAGGCAGCCUGCCAAGGUGAGGCACAGCGCCCUGGCCCAGAACAGAGCAAGUGCUCAGAAAUCACAGGCCGGUACCCUCCCGGCUGGGGGCCCCUGGCCCUGUCUCCUCACCCAGCAGCAUACAGAAGGGAAGGAGCAUUUAUGCAACACCUACUGCAUGCCAGUUCUCAAGUCAUUAGCCCGUUUUAUCAACAAGGAAACUGAGCCUCAGAGAGGUGGGGCCUGGGACCAGCCCAGUGGUUCCAAAGCAGGAAUUCCCACCAGGAACCAACCUUGAGAGGGCCUCCCUCCUGCCUCCUUGGGCCAAAGCAACUGCCCUCCUGAGCCCUCGGGGACCCCAGGCACUGCUCCAGCCCCUCCCCAGCUCCUCCCCCUAGACCCCCAGGAAGCAGAGCUUGGGGAGAUGCUGUCCACAGUCUCAGGACCAGACCCUGCAGGCAGAUCUGUGUGCCCUCUCUGAGCCUCAGUUUUCCCAUCUGGGAAAUAGGAAGAGCCAAGGAUGUCCGCCCCAUAGCGUGGGAACGCUGAGCCGUUGAAACAUCACUCCGGCCCCAUCCUUGGGGACCGCCUUGGUCCCCAGGGGCUGGUCUGGGGGGGUUCAAGGGCUGGGUGGGCUGGUCUGGCCGCCUCGCCUCUCCCUAAUGGCAGGUUUGGGCACAGACAGAGCCUGUGGCCUGGCAGCGUGGGGUGGUGGCUCUGCUCCCCCGCCCGCCUGCCCUCCUGCCCGCCGUGUGGUCCCUGCGGGGGGACACGUGAACACAGCCUGGCUCUGUUCUCUCAGAGCUGUGGGAGGCGGGCUGUCACCACGGGAGCUGGAGUGGAGGGCUGGGGCUGGGCGAGGGGUUGGGGGUGCACAGUGUAUGCAGGAUAGCGAGGAGGGGGUCUUUUGGGGGGACAGCUGCCCCGCUCUGUUCUGGAGAGAGAGGUGUCCAAGGCAACAUGGCCACCGUCACCAGGGCUGCAGGUCCCCCUGGGGUUCUGAACGGCUGCUGCGUGGCACAGGUUGGGCACUGCACAAUCUCAGGUCUUUGGGUGGAGCUGUACCGUGUGCAGCGGCCUAGGGGCUCCCUCCCGUCUUCUCCGCCUCCCACGUUUUGAUGUUUGUUUCUGGAGUUCGGGCCCCUUUUGAUCCAAAGUCUGGGGUGUUGGUGAGGGCGAUGUGUAGGAGUGACUAUGGGUGAGAGGGCUCCCAUCGUGGGCUGCACACAGUAGGGCGGCUUGGGGGGUUGUAAGAAGCCAUGUCUGUCCUUCGAGGUCAGAGUGAUACGUGUGUAUCCAAGCCCCCCAUGAAUCCCAUUCUCCUUGAGCAUCUAAGGUCAUGACUUUGUGGGUACCAGGCGUCCCCGCCCCGCUACCUUGCCUCCUAAGAGCCCCCUUUGCCGAGAUUUAAUGUCUUAACUCACUGAGCUGCAGGUCAAACAGCACCUGGGGAGAGAGACACCAACUGAAACCUCUCCUAGCUGUGUGACCUUAAGCAUGUUACAUAACCUCUCUGUGCUUUCAUUUCCUCCUCCCAAAAGUAGAGGCAGUAGCCUGUGUCGCCAGGUUAUAGGCAGAUUGCAUGAGCUAAGGAUGAAACGCACUUUGAGCCGGGACAGCGUGUGGAAAAUGCCAGUUGUUGCCUCACUCCGUGUGCCCUGGGUAGAAACUGCCAGCUUUGUUCUUUGCCACCUGGAGGUCCUGGCAGGCAGGAGGCUGGGGUUCAGCGGCCUUGUUCCCCAGGGGUGGCUGGCACCGGGCUUGGCACGAGGUGAGCUCUGGAUUGAUAAACAGCUGCAGGGUUGCAGGGGGGGCCUCCCUCUCUCCCUCUCUGGGAGCUGCAGGGGACGCCUGCUCCCUCCAACCCGCCGCCACCGCCAGGCCCCUUUGUCCACACGGCCGCCUCCCGGUGCAGAGAAACCGCAGGCUGGGCUGCGCCACUCAGCCUUAUCUCAGGCCUUUUGCAGACAGCCCUGGCCCCGGGAAAGGGGUUUAUCAGCCCGGUCAUCUGUGCCCCGGUAGGUUCAGAGGGGCAGAGAGCUUGGAGGGGAGCCUGGCAGGGGGCAGGGCCCACCCACACUGGCCUGGCGAGGUCCCCUCCUCCAGGCGGGCUUUGGGCGCACAGGAAGGGCCGAGCCCCAGACUCCCUCCGUAGACUCCGUGACAUUCACCUUCCACCGGCCCCCUCCCAGCCCUCAGAUUCGGUGCCCUCCAUGCGACCACCUGUCCCCACGGGGCAGUCAGGGGAGCCUGACCCGCGUCUGAGGGUGAGUGUGUGUGGCAGGGUUGAAGCUGAGAAGCCCAUUUCAGGGCACUGAGCCCUGGGAAGGCUGCCCAGCCUUCCCGAUGCUUCUUUAAGGGGCAGGGAGCUCCCGUUCUCCCCCCUUAUAAGGCCAACUCCUGAGCGCCUGCUGGCGAGGAGCCCUUCUCCCCAUGCUCUCACGGAUGCGCUGACUGGGCCCAGUCGUGAACCCAUCAUAGAGACCAGGAGACUGAGGCCCAGGCCAACUUUGCACCCUGCAGCCUUGCGGACAUUCUGGGUCUGCGGGCGCACGGGAUGGGCACCUUAGGGGUGGAAGGUGGUCCCUGUGGUCCCUGGCCACCCGGCUACCCUAGUGCCAUUCUGCCACCACCUCCCCUGCCAUUGCUCCCUCCCUUCCCUCAGGGAGAAGUCCUGCUCAGCCAGGGAUGGGGGUGGGGGAACAGAAUGGGCCCCUUGCCAGUGGGUGCACACCGCCAGAGAGGGGCCUUGACAAGCUCAGUAGCCGGGUCAGACCCUAGCACUUUCUGGCUGCAAACCCGGACAAGCCUCCUAGCCCUCUGGGCUGGGCGGGGGCGGGUGUGUGUGUGUGUGUGCCCUUUCCACGCGCCAGGCAGCCCCCCCAGGUCUUGGCCCACUUCAGGCUGCUCCCCAGAGGGCCCUCCCUCUCUCACCCUCUUCACUGGCAUCCUGUCCUUCUCUGCUAAAAGGGCCACCUCCUGCUGUGUCCCAUCCUCGUCCUUAGGCUGUCACAGGCUCACAGCGCUGUCUAGCAGUGUAUUUCGCUGAUUUUUCUUAUCGUCUGCCGUGCCCAGUGUCUGAGCAGCUCCCAGAGGACAAGAAUUUCCAACUCCGUCUGCCCAGCCCCUAGGUCAGUGCCCGGCCCACAGUAGGCCCUCGAUAAAUACUUGUCAAAUGAAUGAAUGGACAGAUCAGCAAAGUGAGAAAACCAGAGAGUUCCCGUCAUGACGCAGUGGUUAACAAAUCCGACUAGGAACCAUGGGGUUGCGGGUUCGAUCCCUGGCCUUGCUCAGGGGUCAAGGAUCCGGCGUUGCCGUGAGCUGUGGUGUAGGUCGCAGAUGCAGCUCAGAUCCUGCGUUGCUGUGGCUGUGGCUGUGGUGUAGGCUGGUGGCUACACCUCCAAUUGGACCCCUAGCCUGGGAACCUCCAUAUGCCGAGGGAGUGGCCCUAGAAAAGGCAAAAAG
ensembl:lncRNA